CCGAGUUACUACAACUGCUACUGCAUGGUGUCCUAAUGAUCAUGAUGCAUUUGCAUUUAGCUCUUUUUAUUCUGACAGUAAACUGGCUUUCAACUAUAUUCAUGCAGCUCAUACAGGUUCAACAGGACCCAAGGGACCUGGUUCUGUCCAAAGGAUCACCGCUGAAGGUCACCUGCUCUAUAACCGGCACGAGUACUCCAAUGCUGUACUGGUACCACUGGAAUGAAACAGCAGGUUUCACACUGGUCUUCACCUCUCGAGCCACUGGUUCAGUGAAUCCUGCCAGUGAGGGUCAGUUUAAAUCUCAGAGACCAAAAGACCUUCAGAUCAUUCUGGAGUCUGAUGGAGUGAGUGAGAUCGGAUCUGCAGUGUGGUACUGUGCAGCCAGACCCCACAGCAUCACAGUGUCAUCACAGAGCUGUACAAAAACCACAACAUCUUCUUCAGCCUGGGUUUUAUGCUCAAAUAUACAAUUUUAUCCUCCAUUUUACUUUGGUUAUCAGCACAUGGCCUGAACUGAUAGAAGCCUGACUGAUCUCUAAAGUUAAAAUUCCACAAGUUUGUCCUUGGCUAUAAAUGGCUAAGAAUUUUUUUCUUCUGUCAAGCACAUAAAACAAACAAUCCCCACUAGAAUUACUUGCUUGUUCAAUUAAACAAUAAAGAAUAUAAUAAAUAAUAUUUGCAUUAUUGUUUUAAAGUAUAAAAAGGAUAGUGAAGACAGCCAGCAGGAUCAUUGGAUCAUUCGUGCCCCUCUCCCUUACCUGAUGGAGAUCUACCAGAAGUGCUCCACCUGCAGGGCUAUCUCCAUCAUUAAGGACCCUUACCACCACAUCAUCUCCCUCCUACCAUCAGGGAAGAGGUACAGAAGCAUCAGCUGCAGAACCAGCAGGAUGCUAAACAGCUUCAAAUUGUUGAAAGGUAUGACACAGGAGAGGAGUACAAAAAAUUUCCAGCACCAUGGAACUGAAUGAAGGCCAUCAUCAAGAAGUGGAGAAAAUGGAGCACCACAGUCACAUUAUCAAGAACAGGACCUCCCUCUAAAAUUGAUGAAAAGACAAGACAAAAACCUAUCGGGGACGCUGCCAAGAGAGCUUGGCAAUGUUAAAAGAGGUGGAGGAAUAUAUUGCUAGUACUUCUCUAUCUCUUCAUGUGACAACGAUCUCAUGUAUUCUUCACAUAUCUAGGCUAUGGAGUAGGGUGGCUCGACUGACGCUGUUUCUCACAAUAAAGGAAAGCACCCAAGUCUGCCUAAAUCACCCAAAGCCAUAUGGCAAAAUGUGCUAUGGUCUGAUAAGAGGUAGAAUGUA